UCCUACGGGGGGCAGCAGUGGGGAAUAUUGCCCAAUGGGGGAAACCCUGAUGCAGCGACGCCGCGUGAGUGAGGAAGUAUUUCGGUAUGUAAAGCUCUAUCAGCAGGGAAGAAAAUGACGGUACCUGACUAAGAAGCCCCGGCUAACUACGUGCCAGCAGCCGCGGUCAUACGUAGGGGGCAAGCGUUAUCCGGGUUUACUGGGUGUAUAGGGAGCGUAUACGGAAUUGCACGUCUGAUGUGAAAAUCCAGGGCC
rnacentral:rRNA from 1 species